rnacentral:rRNA from 1 species
CCUACGGGAGGCAGCAGUAAGGAAUAUUGGUCAAUGGACGAAAGUCUGAACCAGCCAUGCCGCGUGAAGGAUUAAGGCCCUCUGGGUUGUAAACUUCUUUUAUCUGGGACGAAAAAAGGGUAUUCUUACUCACUUGACGGUACCAGAGGAAUAAGCACCGGCUAACUCCGUGCCAGCAGCCGCGGUAAUACGGAGGGUGCAAGCGUUAUCCGGAUUUACUGGGUUUAAAGGGUGCGUAGGUGGGCUUGUAAGUCAGUGGUGAAAUCUCCGGGCUUAACCCGGAAACUGCCAUUGAUACUAUAGGUCUUGAAUUAUCUGGAGGUAAGCGGAAUAUGUCAUGUAGCGGUGAAAUGCUUAGAUAUGACAUAGAACACCAAUUGCGAAGGCAGCUUACUACGGAUAUAUUGACACUGAGGCACGAAAGCGUGGGGAUCAAACAGGAUUAGAUACCCUGGUAGUCCACGCCCUAAACGAUGGAUACUCGACAUCAGCGAUACACUGUUGGUGUCUGAGCGAAAGCAUUAAGUAUCCACCUGGAAGUACGAUCGCAAGAUUGAAACUCAAAUGAAAUUGACGG